rnacentral:rRNA from 1 species
GACGAACGCUGGCGGCGUGCUUAACACAUGCAAGUCGAACGGAAAGGCCCUGCUUGCAGGGUACUCGAGUGGCGAACGGGUGAGUAACACGUGGGUGAUCUGCCCUGCACUUCGGGAUAAGCUUGGGAAACUGGGUCUAAUACCGGAUAGGAGCCAUCUUUAGUGUGGUGGUUGGAAAGUUUUUUCGGUGUGGGAUGAGCUCGCGGCCUAUCAGCUUGUUGGUGGGGUAAUGGCCUACCAAGGCGGCGACGGGUAGCCGGCCUGAGAGGGUGUACGGCCACAUUGGGACUGAGAUACGGCCCAGACUCCUACGGGAGGCAGCAGUGGGGAAUAUUGCACAAUGGGCGCAAGCCUGAUGCAGCGACGCCGCGUGGGGGAUGAAGGCCUUCGGGUUGUAAACUCCUUUCGCUAGGGACGAAGCUUUUUUGUGACGGUACCUAGAGAAGAAGCACCGGCUAACUACGUG